rnacentral:rRNA from 1 species
UACAUGGGGUGCAAACGUUGCUCGGAAUUAUUGGGCGUAAAGCGCGCGUAGGCGGUUACUCAAGUCGGAUGUGAAAGCCCUCGGCUUAACUGAGGAAGUGCACCCGAAACUGAGUAGCUAGAGUACUAAAGAGGGUCGCGGAAUUCCCGGUGUAGAGGUGAAAUUCGUAGAUAUCGGGAGGAACACCGGUGGCGAAGGCGGCGACCUGGGUAGAUACUGACGCUGAGACGCGAAAGCGUGGGGAGCAAACAGG